rnacentral:rRNA from 1 species
UACGUAGGUGGCAAGCGUUGUCCGGAUUUACUGGGUGUAAAGGGCGUGUAGCCGGGCUGACAAGUCAGAUGUGAAAUUCCGGGGCUCAACCCCGGACCUGCAUUUGAAACUGUUGGUCUUGAGUAUCGGAGAGGCAGGCGGAAUUCCUAGUGUAGCGGUGAAAUGCGUAGAUAUUAGGAGGAACACCAGUGGCGAAGGCGGCCUGCUGGACGACAACUGACGGUGAGGCGCAAAAGCGUGGGGAGCAAACAGG